rnacentral:rRNA from 1 species
GAGUUUGAUCCUGGCUCAGGAUGAACGCUGGCGGCGUGCUUAACACAUGCAAGUCGAACGGGCUCAUAUUGAAACCUAGUGAUGUAUGAGUUAGUGGCGGACGGGUGAGUAACGCGUGGAGAACCUGCCGUAUACUGGGGGAUAACACUUAGAAAUAGGUGCUAAUACCGCAUAAGCGCACAGCUUCGCAUGAAGCAGUGUGAAAAACUCCGGUGGUAUACGAUGGAUCCGCGUCUGAUUAGCUGGUUGGCGGGGUAACAGCCCACCAAGGCGACGAUCAGUAGCCGGCCUGAGAGGGUGAACGGCCACAUUGGGACUGAGACACGGCCCAAACUCCUACGGGAGGCAGCAGUGGGGAAUAUUGCACAAUGGGGGAAACCCUGAUGCAGCGACGCCGCGUGAGUGAAGAAGUAUUUCGGUAUGUAAAGCUCUAUCAGCAGGGAAGAAAUACUGACCUUACGGUCAGCAGACGGUACCUGACUAAGAAGCCCCGGCUAACUACGUGCCAGCAGCCGCGGUAAUACGUAGGGGGCAAGCGUUAUCCGGAUUUACUGGGUGUAAAGGGAGCGUAGACGGCAGCGCAAGUCUGAAGUGAAAUCCCAUGGCUUAACCAUGGAACUGCUUUGGAAACUGUGCAGCUGGAGUGC